UUUCGAAACAUUACAAACAUGAUAUCGAAACUUCUUUCGUUUCGUUCCAAGAAAUAUUUCAUUUCCUCGUAAUAUCACAGUGCAGAACGAUCGAUUAUCGGUAUUUCUCUUCUAUUGGCGCGAGCUUAAUUAUCAUGUAAAUAGUGGUAAUUAGUAGCAUACUCGAUCAAUUAAGUUUUUCUAACGUGUAUUUUCUGUUUAAUGGAUAAGAGCCAUAAUAGGGGUUUUCCAGAAAUAUAUCUUUCUCCAUAACUGUCCAUAUGGUCUAUUAUCAAUGAAUUAAUAAUACUGAUAAUAAUAUGAUAGAAAUCCUUAUUGUUAGAUUUAUUUCAAUCGAGAUUCUCGAUUCUAGAAUCAAUGACAAUUCAUAAGUUUAAAGAUCAUUUGAAGAGGAAUGAGUUUGCAAUUUUGUGAUCAAUUCUUUACUUUAAUUUCAUUGAUUUAGACAUCAUCUAACAAGACUCCUCCAUCUUGGAACCAUUCUUAGCUCCAUUGACCUUUGGAUUAACCCAAAUAGAUUUAUUUUUUCAGUCUAUCUUAAUCUCACUAUUCUAAGAUCCAUUGAUCUUCAAUUUUGGAAGAAGAUAUCAGGAUCAUUUCUAAGUGAAACUUUUUAAUCUUGCAAUUAUCAAUAGCAAUUUCACGAAUCAUUCCAAUAAAAAUUUUCUUCUCUCCAAAGCAUUUUCAAACAAAAUUUCCUCCAUUCUGAAUCUACCCCGACCAAGAUUCUUCAAUUUCGAAGUUAUCAUCCUCCUCGAAUUCUGAUUUCAAGAUUAUCCAUAACGGAGUCGAAUCGAGUCGUCUCCUCUCAUCCCGUCUCAUCCAUAAUGUCUCUCGUUUAUCUGAAAAUGAACAAGAACGUAAGAACAAUAUAAAACAUAAAAGAUACGUAAGACAGCUUUUCCAGACAACAUCCUUUUCUCUUUCCUUCCUUUUUUUUUUUUUUUUAAUU